rnacentral:lncRNA from 1 species
GGCUAAUAAUAAUAACACAUAAAAUAUUGUAAAACAAUAAAAUAAAACAUGAUUGUCUGCACCUUCAACAAAAUAUAACAGUAGCUAAAAUACUCAAGGUAAAAGUUCUAAUAAAAUGCCACCAAGGGAAUUGUCAACUUGUGUGUAAUACGACCCUAUCAAUACCAUUCUAUGGAUACAUGUUAAAAUCAAACGGUAGCGAAAAAUUUACUCCAUGCGUAUACAAAACUUGAUAAGGAGAGGAGGUUAUUUUUUAUUUUCACAAAAAAAUCUUAAGACAAAAUUUGACCAUAAGUUAUAAUGAAAUGAUCAUGACUUAAAGAGUACUUUUGUUCUUGUUA